GGGGUUGUGGCUCAGUGGUAGAGUGCUUGCCUAGCACACAUGAGGCACUGGGUUCAAUUCUCAGCACCACA
rnacentral:tRNA from 1 species